rnacentral:rRNA from 1 species
UACGAAGGGGGCUAGCGUUGCUCGGAAUCACUGGGCGUAAAGCGCACGCAGGCGGAUCGUUAAGUCAGGGGUGAAAUCCCGAGGCUCAACCUCGGAACUGCCUUUGAUACUGGCGAUCUUUGAGUCCGGGAGAGGUGAGUGGAACUGCGAGUGUAGAGGUGAAAUUCGUAGAUAUUCGCAAGAACACCAGUGGCGAAGGCGGCUCACUGGCCCGGUACUGACGCUGAGGUGCGAAAGCGUGGGGAGCAAACAGG